GACGAACGCUGGCGGCGUGCCUAAUACAUGCAAGUCGAGCGGAACGGGGGGAGCUUGCUCCUUCCAGUUUAGCGGCGGACGGGUGAGUAACACGUGGGCAACCUGCCCUGCAGAUCGGGAUAACUCCGGGAAACCGGUGCUAAUACCGAAUAGUUUAGCGCCUCUCCUGAGGCGCUACGGAAAGACGGUUUCGGCUGUCACUGCAGGAUGGGCCCGCGGCGCAUUAGCUAGUUGGUGGGGUAACGGCCCACCAAGGCGACGAUGCGUAGCCGACCUGAGAGGGUGACCGGCCACACUGGGACUGAGACACGGCCCAGACUCCUACGGGAGGCAGCAGUAGGGAAUCUUCCGCAAUGGGCGCAAGUCUGACGGAGCAACGCCGCGUGAGUGACGAAGGUUUUCGGAUCGUAAAACUCUGUUGUGAGGGAAGAACACGUACCAACUAACUAUUGGUACCUUGACGGUACCUCACCAGAAAGCCACGGCUAACUACGUGCCAGCCGCCGCCGUAAGAC
rnacentral:rRNA from 1 species